rnacentral:rRNA from 1 species
UACGUAGGGGGCUAGCGUUGUCCGGAAUCAUUGGGCGUAAAGCGCGUGUAGGCGGUCCGGCAAGUCCGCUGUGAAAGUCGGGGGCUCAACCCUCGGAUGGCGGUGGAUACUGUCGGGCUUGAGUACGGAAGAGGCGAGUGGAAUUCCUGGUGUAGCGGUGAAAUGCGCAGAUAUCAGGAGGAACACCAGUUGCGAAGGCAGCUCGCUGGGACGUUACUGACGCUGAGACGCGAAAGCGUGGGGAGCAAACAGG